AUUGAACGCUGGCGGCAUGCCUUACACAUGCAAGUCGAACGGCAGCACGGGUGCUUGCACCUGGUGGCGAGUGGCGAACGGGUGAGUAAUACAUCGGAACGUACCUUAUCGUGGGGGAUAACGCAGCGAAAGCUGUGCUAAUACCGCAUACGCCCUGAGGGGGAAAGCGGGGGAUCGCAAGACCUCGCGCGAUGAGAGCGGGCGAUGCCUGAUUAGCUUGUUGGUGGGGUAAAAGCCCACCAAGGCGACGAUCAGUAGCUGGUCUGAGAGGACGAUCAGCCACACUGGGACUGAGACACGGCCCAGACUCCUACGGGAGGCAGCAGUGGGGAAUUUUGGACAAUGGGGGCAACCCUGAUCCAGCAAUGCCGCGUGAGUGAAGAAGGCCUUCGGGUUGUAAAGCUCUUUUGUCAGGGAAGAAACACCGGCUCUAACACAGUCCGGGAAUGACGGUACCUGAAGAAUAAGCACCGGCUAACUACGUGCCAGCAGCCGCCGUAA
rnacentral:rRNA from 1 species